CACCGUUGCCACAACAUUCAUCUUAGAUAAAUCAUAAAUAUGCCACAUUGGAGCGAAGUCAACAAUCAGAAGAUAAUGACUGCAUCCCAAACGAACAAGUUUCCUUGGACAAGAUCCACGAACUGGAGGAAAAUUCCAAUCAAGGUAUUCCCAAUUGUUAGCCUUGACGUCAUAUGACACGAGCCCUUGAUGUUUCCCACGAGAAGCAUACAAUACAAUGUGGGUCUUCUUGUAAGGCUUGGUGCUGUCCUCCCACAGAAAGUAAGAGUCAGGGUCCGUGCAAUAUGAGAGGAGAGCACUUUCGGGCACUUCCCUUGUUUCCCAUAGACCUGAUUUUAGGCUAUAAAUAUCAACCCAGCCAUUUGCACUUCCACCACCCCCAAAGAUGUACAAUUUGCCAUCAUAGGGGACUACUAAGGGUCUUAAUCGGCGGCAGAACAUGCUUCCACAAAACUUCCAACUCCAAUUAGAACCCUCAUACUUGAGGCACCACAUCCUUGAGGGGUAAUGAUCAUCCAAAUUCAAACACAAUUCUGGAUCAAUAAAAGACAGGUUACCACCAGCAAAGAAGAAGCUGUGACCGACAGAACAAAAUCCUUGACAAUAUGGUAAUGGAUAAUCGACCAAUAGACCAUCUCUAAGAGGCCAUUUGGCAGUUACAUGACCUCCAUCUUCAAGAUCAACAGUGCCAUUCUUAAUAAAGUUGGCCUCAGUUAUAGUUAACAUCCUGCGCGUGACGGUUGAUUUCCCAACAUGAUUGCUUUCAAGAUCUAAAUUUUCCACCAACAGGUAUAAGCGCUGCGUCAUGGAUAGCUUUGGAUCAGAAGAACGAACAUCCUGGAAUUAGGGAAACAAUCAUAGAAUCAAAUCACAAUAAGUUUACAGCAAUUAACUAUUAAAUAGAAAGCUUUGCAGUGUGUUGAUGAUAAAUUGAAACGUCAUACUUAUCCAGUUAAGUUUAUAAGGAUAAGAGGAUGCAGAAACCGACCUCAGGAUCAUAUUCCCCGCACAUGGUAUCAGCAGCACCUCCCGAAACAGCACCUUGCAAAACCCCAACAACACUUCCCCACCAGCGGUCAAAAUCCGCGUUCAAUUCAACAGUGUCCCCUAAAUCCCUAAUAUGAUUGGCAGCCUUAGCCAUCAAAUUCGUGUCAUCUUCAGAAGCCCCUUUGCCGGCGACAAACGCACUGAAACUGUAAGCAUUCACAACUAAGGAUCCAAACUUACAGCCCUUCGCGUAAUUGAUGAUCCAACGGGCGAACAGCUUUGCUCCGAGAGGACGGUUGUCAGUGAAGAUGAAAUUUUGUCCGAGAAAUUGGUUCCAAACUUCCGAAGUUGAAGCAACGAGGACGACAAGGUUCUCCUUGGGUAGGGCUUCGGGCACGUAAUCCCUGGCAUCUACAAGCUCCAUAACGACGCCGAACGUCUCGAACAAAUCGCAGAGGCACGAAGCUAGGGCUUUUGAGGUUCCGAUUUGGGAAACAAAUAGAAUCUUGCCAGUUGAAUUGCUUUUAGGUUGUUCAUGAUGGAGUCUUAUGAGGUUCUUUUCGUGGGAGUAGAGGCGCAUGAGGCGAGACUUGCAGAUUAAUAACAAGGUUGUGGCAGUGGCCGAGACGACGGUCACGGUGGACAAGAGCGCAGAAGUAUCUGCUUCUAACGACGACAACAACGAAAGUAUUGCCAUAUUUCUUUUCUGCUUCAGAGGGUUUCCACUUUCCACCCCCCCCUCCUCUUUUUUUCCCCAGUUGCUGAAGAGAGUCGGUGUGUGUUCGUUGAUGGCAAAACAGAGGCGGUGGAAUGAGAGAAAAGAAUAAGUAUGACACCAGACCCCCUCCUCUUCAUUAUAACAUUUUUAGAUAAUGAAAAUAAAAGUGAAUGAAAGCAAAAUGAAAAGAAAGAUUAUUAAAAGUUAUAAUGAAUAAUUGAAAAAAAAUAGAACAAGUAUAAAAUGCCACAUUUAGUAAUGUUGUGAUAGUAUCUAAACAGAAUAAUUUUGAUUAUUUUAAUUUAAAUAUAGUUGUAAAUGAAGUUAAGAAAAAUGUUAUAGUAAAUUACAAUUUGAUAUUAAAAAUAAAGUUGAAUACAAAUAUGAAAAUAAUAAGUAAUUAAAUAUAAAUAUAAUUGAUGAUAUUUUGAUGUAGAAGUAGUAGUAAUUUUGCCAGAAAUUUAGGUUUUAAUUAAAUAUAAGUAUAAUUGUAUUUUAGUUUUAUGUAUGUAUAUAUAAUAUGGUGUAUUUAAGGGGUUUUAAUUAAAUAUAAGUAUAAUUGUAUUUUAGUUUUAUGUAUGUAUAUAUAAUGUGGUGUAUUUAAGUGAAUUUGUAUAUAAAAAGAGAGGAAUUAUUUAUUUAAUUUUGUAUUUCUUUAGUGUGCAGUCUUGCUAAAACUAUAGGAGAACAAAUUUGUUUAAAUAAAUUUCAUAAUGUUGGAAUCAAAUUAAGAAAAAAUCAAAUAGAAGAUGCGUAAUUAGUUAGAACGUUUUUUUAGGAGUUCAUGAUUUUUUUUUUAAAGUUGGAUUUUGUGGCUAGUUAGAAAUUUAUUUCCAUUGUAGUUAUUUCUAUUAUUUUAGUAAUUUAAUUAGAUUUGUGGAUAUUGUGCUUAUUUUUUCAUGUGGACUAGAAAAGACAAAAUGUCUAAUAACUAAUAAGAGACAAGUUGGAGGUAUGUCCGUGCAUUAUAUAAACCUAAUUUGUAAAGAACAUUUCUUUUUCUCCUAAAAGAACGGGCAUGUCGAACAAGUUAUUGAGAAUAGAGAAAAAGGGAUACCACCCGAACAAAGUUUUUUAUUCAUCCAUAUAGAACGAUCUACCAACAAAAAUAAUAAAGCACAUGUAAUAAUGACCCGCUAUUAUUUUUUAUUAUGGGAUUUAUAAUUAAAAUUAAUCUACAACAUUAAACUACUUUUAUUUUUAAUAAUAAUAAUAAUUUAUAGCAAUACAUAAAGAAAAUAGAAAAAUUUGGUCUCCAAUUUUCGCUUCCUCAUCUUAACCCUAUUAGUAAAGAGCAACUGAAAUAUCUUUUUAUUUUGAAAAAAAAAGCCAAAAAAAUAAAUUAUUAAUUAACUUUUUUUAUUCCGGUUACUUUUUUAUUCCACGUAUAACUUCCAAUCACUUCGUCUUCUUUAUUAUCCCAUUUUUUUAGGUAUUUGUCUAUUUUUUAUUAAUUUUUUUAUCUCUUUGUAUCUUUUUUUAUUUAUUAAAUUAAUUAUAUAUUACUUUUAUUUUUGAGAAUUAAAAAAUAAACCAAAAUGAUAAAUUCAAAGGUUUUCUAUUUUUUUUUAUAUAGUGUUUUACUUUAAGUAAUUAUUUUUUAUGGAUAAUAUUUAAAUGACAAAUAAAAUAGUAAAAAGAUUUAUAGGGUGAGAUUGAAAACCAGAACAUACAUCUACACUUUGAACUAUGUCCGGCCUAGAAGAUGUUAGAUACAUUAAUGAUCCAAUCAUAUCUUUAUACUGGAUUUCAUCAACAUAUUUUCCAUUUUUACCCUUGUCAAGUUUUGUAUUUGAAUGUAUAGGUGUACUCAUUGGUUUGGAGUUUUCUAAACUAAAUUUCUUUAUUAACUCUUUGGCAUAUUUACCUUGGUGAACAAAGAUGCCACUAGGAGUUUGCUUGACUUGAAAUCUAAGAAAAAAUGUUAGUUCUCCCAUCAAACUCAUUUCAAACUCGUUAUUAGUCAUUAGAUUUCCAAACUCUUUGCACAAUGAUUCAUUAGCUGAUCCAAACACAAUAUCAUCCAUAUACACUUGGACAAGGAAGAAAUCAUCAUUAGAUUAUUUGAUAAAUAAAGUAGUAUCGAUAGUACCCCUUAAAAAAUCAUUUCGCAGCAAGAAGGCACUAAACCUUUUAUACGCUCUUGGAGCUUGCCUAAGGCCAUAAGAAGACUUUGAUAGUUUAAAAACAUAAUUAAAAAAAUCUUUGUUUUUAAAAUCUGAGAGUUGAGCUACAAAUACUUCUCUAACAAUAGUUUAUAAAAUAAUAAUUUUUUAAUAUCUUAUUUAAUUUAAAUUUAUAAAUUUUAUACAUUCUAAAAAUUAAAUAAUUUAAAAAAUAUUUUUACCUUUAAAUUUUUUGUUCUUAAUAUUUAAAUUAUUCUAUUAAAUUUAUAAUUUUAAUUCUAAGACGAAAGAAUUCCAUAGCCAAUACCACGAGAUAGAUAAAAUGGAUCCGAGUAUUGCUCCAACAAUCACCUGCUUCACUGUAUGAAGCUUUUGCGACACCCGUAGAUAUGACUGCUUACAUAGCAUACAAAAUGGCCGUAAGCAAUUUAUUUACGCUUACAUCAGCAUAUUGUAAACUUCAAAUAGUGAUAAUAUUUUUUUAAACUCACUUACAAUUAAUUUUAUGUGGAGUUGAUAGUUGAGAGUCGUUAAAUAAUUUGACAGAUUUUAUUAAAUUGUCAUUUAAAUGAUUCUCAACUAUCAAUUUCACAUAAAAUUAACUGCACCUAAAUUUUUAUAUUUAACGAGAUAUAUAGAGAGAUAUCAGAAAUAAAAUUAAUUAUAUUUAAUGAUGACAAAAAUUGGUUGGAUUAUGAAUUAAUAAUCCAAAUUAAAUUGUUAGUUUAGUUCGAUGUGAGUUUUACUUUUAGUAUUGGGCAUAUCCAAAAUCAACAAGUGAACAUCCCAAAAUAAAGUCGAGCUAGAAUAAUCUCACAAGGCCAAAGCAUAAGACAUAGUGCUGAAAUUAGAAAGAAAAAAAAGCUGCAAAUUUGGGGGCCAAACUUCAAAAUAAGGAAAAAUGACAACAUUAAUUUGUACUAAUGAUUGGAUAAUAAUGAAGGAUAAAGGGCAGCAUCAUGAUAUGCAGUAAGCACAGCCUACAAAUAUUUAGAUUUGGAGGUGCAGAAAUUAUCAUUUAUAUUGUUUGCAUUUUUUAAAAAUUGAAGACAAGAAAAGGGAGCAUUCCUUAUAUAUAUGAAUAAUUAAACUUAAAUCUUGUGUUAUUAUUUUGUUUUUGUUAUUCAAAAGAACUAUUAUUGAUAAUAUUUUAGGAGUAAAUAAGUUUAAACAAAUAAAAAAUAAAUUUUUUUUAUUUUUUUUUGUAAAAACAGUCAAAUAGAAUCUUAAAAUAGUUUUUUUUGUAAUUAUGCGGAUAUACCCAAUAUCCGAUCCGAUCCGAUCCGCAUAUUUUGGUCAUUAUUAUGAUUAUUUCCUUCUCUGAAUUCACGCUCUCUUAUUUUCUGAAUUGGUUCACAAUUUUUGUUUCUUCGCAAACAAGGAAUGAAGCCUCCACCAGGCAAGACAGAUCUUGAGGCAGAGGAACUAGCACGAAACGACAUAGUUUUCAAGUAUCUCAGUUUUGCCAAUUUCAUCCCCAGAAAUUCAGAAGAUGAGCUGAAGCAAAUGGAGGUUGUUGCUACUGUCAUUGUAAUGUUAUAUAUACUACUAUAUCUAUAUACCAAAAAUUGUUAUCAAAUUUUGAUAGUUUAGAAGUUUUUAACUAAGUCUUUCACUAUAUUAUACCAUUUUAUCUUUUUCUUUAUUUAUUAAAAACAAUAAUCAAACACUUAUUUUAGAAGAUAAAUUUUUAUUCCUUUUUUCUCAAGAUGGUUUAGUAUAGGGAUUUCAUCACAAUUUUUAAACUAUUAAAACUUAAUUAUUGAAUAGCCUUUGUAGAGAUUUAACUAGAAAUACUUGAGUAAAAUAAUUUUUUAUUAUAUAAAAACAUAAUUAUAUAUUUUUAAAAUGCAAGAAUCUAAUUAAAUAUUGAGUAAAUUUAUAAGAGGUCUAAAAUUGUUAAACAAACCAAGGUUAUUAAAGUACAGAACAUGCUAUUUGUAGCAUAAGACAAAGUAACCUCUUCCACAUUUCUACGACUUUCCAUCCAAAAGUCCAAAACUAGUGGAAAGGGAAUAUUUCCUCUGGAAACUGAUAGAGAUCCUUCUGCAGGUGGUUGGCUAACAAGUAUAAACAAGGUUAUUAAUUGAAUAUAUACUUUUGAUAUAACAAGUUUAUUGUAUAUUUCAUUACUCCAUAUAUAUAUAAUAAACAUUAGCCAAUAAUCGGUCCAGACUAAUUCAGUUCAAGAUAAAAUUCAUUUAAUGGUGAAUCAAUUAAAAUAAAAAAAAAUUAUUAGAUAAUCGAUUAAUCAAUCAAAUCGAUACGAAUUUUAACGAUUAAUUGAUUUAAAAUAAUAAAUUAUAAAAAGUCAACUUUAAAAAAAUUAUAUAUAUUAUUGUUAUAUCUGGUUCAAUUUUAAUGAAAUUUCGAUUAAAUUUUUAAAUUAUUAAAUUUUUAAUUCUACUGUUGACCGGAAUCGUGUAAGGUACUUAGGUUUAAUUAUUUUCAUUAAAAAGAUAUCAGAAACAUAGCUGGUCAUUAUGUCUUCCCUUUUGUCUCAUUCCCUGUUGACUAUAAGUAGUUAUUUCUUUUAAGAAUAAGACAAGACAACCUUUGAAUUAUUCGACUAUAACCAGCAUAGUGGCAAUCAUGUGAUAAUUGGAUCUUUAUAUAUCUUUGUGUGUGGUCGUCGGUGCGAUCCAUUAGAAAGAGUGGCAUGCUCGUUUUUGAAUAUUCUUUAAUUAUAAUAUACAAUAUACAAGAAAUUUCAAUAAACCCUUACUUCCAUUUACCAAUGAAAAGACAUUACAAGAUAAAAUAUUUCAUGGAUGAUUUCUACUAGAAGAAUCAAGGGAUUGAUCUAUGAAUUCCGUUCACUAUUGCCAAGUUGGAGUUGCCUUUAGAAAGAUUGAGGUUGAGAGACAAAAAUAAAAAGAUAUAAAUUGUGUUAGGUUAAAUUAAAUUUUUAUAUUAUAUUUAGUGUAAAGUAUAUAAUAUUAAAAAUAACUUAUCAAAAACUAACUUGUUGAGUGAUCUAAUAACAUAGUAAGUAAAAAAAAAAAUCAGUUAUUAACAUCAAAUUAUAACAAUUAAUUAAUGUCAUUAAAAUUGGACAAACUCAUUAUUUAAAUUUGUAUUAUUACAGGAGACUUUUCUAAAAUCAAUAAAAAAAUUUUGUAACAUUAGAAAAAUACUAUCACCGAAUUAUAAUCAUCGACCACAAUUAUAUUGUAUAGAAUUUUAUCAUAAUUGUGAUUUUUUUAUUUUUUAAAAUUUAUCUACAGAAAUGAGAGUUAUGGAACGAGAACAAGAAGCAUUUUCCUGAUCAGGAACGGAUGCCGGAAAAAGAUCUCCACCCCUAUAAAUAUCCAUUGUCAUCCCUAGUAACAAGUAGGAGUAGCAGUGAACCGAGUAGAGGCAGGUUUUUCCCCUACUUAACCCGCCCUUCCUUAACACGUAUAAAACCCCACCCCAAUAACUAUUCGAAUCUAGCAAACAAGAUUAAUUUUUAAAAUUUAUACAACUAUGACCACGUCUGAACAUAAACUAAAAACACAAGAAACCGCUACUACAUAAUUGACUUUUACUAAUAUUUAAAAAAUAUUACUAAAUUAUAUUAAAAUAUUACCUAUGUAUAUUAGUAAUAUUUUAACAAAUGUUAUAUAUACUCUAUUUUACUAAAAAAUUUUACUAACAUUCUUCUAAAGAUUUAAAUAGAUCUAAUAACAUUUAGUAAAAAUGUUACAAUAGACCAUUCAUAAUAACACUUAGAAAAAUAUUACAAUAGAUAUUUUUUAUAACACUUAAAAAAAUAUUACCAUAGAUAAUUUUUGUAACAUUUAGAAAAAUAUUACCAUAAAUAUUUUCUGUAACACUUAGCAAAAUGUUACAAUAGAUAUUUUUUUGUAAUAUUUAAAAAAUAUUACGAUAAAUAUUUUAUAUAACACUUAAAAAAUAUCACAAUAAGUCUUUCUAAUAACACUUUAAAAAAAUAUUACAAUAGAUAUUCUAUAACAAUACUCUAAUAAAUGUCACAAAAAAAUUUCUUUGCUAACAAAAAAUAUUACAAUAGAUCUUUAGUAAUAUUUAAAUGCACAAAAUAUCAAAUUAAAAUUUUUUCCUUCAAUUACAUAUUCUACGCCUACUUUACAAAUUAAAGUCAAGAUAUUUAGACAUUAAAAUUGAUCUAAUAAAUCAAUUUUCCUAUUUCUUCAAUAUGCUUACAUGAAUAAAUCCAAAAUAUACUAGAGGAUCCAAAAUGAUGCUUUACUCAUGAAAUAAACUAAUAUAAAACAGCACACAAAAAGCAAAAUAUUUUAAUGCUAUUGUGGAUGAUUCGAUUAAAAGACUCGAAUUAAAGCAAAAGACACCAAUCUUAAUAGCAAAAUUACACCUGACUUAUCAUGUUCUUUAUCUCGUCCAUGUGAUCAGAAACACGAGGCUCUUGAGAAGGUUUCUCACACUGAAGAUCAGUCAUAUCAACAUUAUAUUCAUGGCAAAAACGGUUGCUUACGUCCAACGGAUUGUCACCAAUCUCAUUUGCUCUCUUAAUUAUCUGCAGCAAUUCUGAUAUUAGCAGUCACAAAUAGUCAUUAAAGAAUAACAUAAGAGACUCAUUUAAAAUAAUAUUGCUUCAAGGUCUAUAUUUUGUAGGACAAAUGGACUGGUGAAAUUUCUAAAUGAUAGAUAUAUGUAUGUCUCAAUGGCACAUAGCUAACUUUUUAAAAUCACAUAAAACAAAUUAUAAUUGACAGAAACAGAAGCAUGCAGUUAUAUUUUGGAUUACAGCGAAAACUUCUCAAUAUUAAUACUAACGAAGGGUGAAAGGGGUUACCUUGUCAUCAACUUCAGUGAAAUUCCGCACAUAUGUUACCUCAUAGCCCAAAUGCACAAGGUACCUGCAGGUUUUCAUGCCAAGUAUGCUACCUCUGUAUCUAAUGCAAGUAAUUAAAGGAAGGCAAGAAUAGAAAGAGUAGUUAAAAUACUCUAAAUCUUAUAUCUGAAUUUAAUCUUAAUAACAAUAGCAGGACUACACCACCAUCAAGGACAGAAGCAAAAUACUGACUUUAUGCUUUACUUAAGACAAUAAUACGAUAAAUUAAUAACCUGAAAUCCAUAGAAGACCCGUGUUGUCACCUUCAACCAGGCCACUGCUAACUACUAACUAGUUCCAUCAAAUAAAACAAAUAGCAUUUUUUAUUAUGAUACUCUCAAAUUGAUAAUGUCAUUUUUAUUUAGAAAAUACCUUUUUUUUAAAAUAAAAAUCACAUUUAUAACAAAAACUUUAUCAAAUUUAAGUUAUAUUAUUAAAAGUGGAAUGAUAAUAUCUUCUCACGAUACCAGCAAGAAUGAAGAUAAAUGAUCCAGUUGAAAGUAGCAUUCGUCCUUCAAGAUGGGAAUAGCUAAUGCAAGCAGAAAGUAUUAUCAAGGAAGGGAGCAAAGAAGAGGGGGAUGACAGAUGGAGCAGCAUGGGGCACAUGAUCUGGGCUAUAUGGAAGACGAAAAAUGCAGCAAUAUUUCACAAUCUAAAACCAGAUCCUCUAAGCACUAUAUAAUCCAAGCUAGAGUACAAGAAACAGAAUACAAGAAAGCCAGGGAUACCACAGAGCAAAUAGAAUCAAAGCCAGUAGAGGAACCAUACCAGUAAAGUGGAGGCCACUGCCCAAAGAAUAACUCAAGAUCAACACAGAUGCAGCGUUCUCAGAGCACAGCAAAACGGGUGAUGGUUGCAGUAAUCAGGGAUGACAGUGGUUCAGUAAAAGGUGGAACUGCAAGAAAAAUCAGGGCAAGCUCAGCUCUCAUGGCAGAAGCAAUGGCAGUGAGAGAAGCAGUAAUUAUGGCAAAAAAUCUAGAUAUGGGAAAAGUGCUCAUUGAAACAGACUGCUUACUGCUAAUUGAGGCUGUUAAGGCUAGAGGAGAGCUGUGGGAAAUUGACCCCAUACUGCAAGACAUUAGAGCUAUAGCUGCAGAUUCCCCACUAAGGAGAGAAACAAAUAAAACAAAACGUCCUUGUUAGUUGCUACUGUGUGUGUGUGUUGUCUAUCUAGUAUUUUAUCUCAAGAUACAUAUAAUAAAGUGUAAACAACAUUAAAAAGUUAGUUCUACCACAUUUUUUUUUUAAAAUAUAACGGUUUACUGUAAACUAGUCUCAACCAUUUCAAAAGCAAAUUAAGAUAGAAUAAAAAAGGGGCAAGAUCAAGAGAGAAUAAAGAGCAAAAAUGCAAGAGGAUAUAGCUAGAGGCUCUUAUCCUUGUAAUAAAUAAGAGCUUCCAGUUUCAGUUCCUCCUCAUUUUUCUUUAAUUAUUUUGAAUUUACACAAUUAGCAGACUCUCAAUUAGAAAACCAUAAUACCCUUGUUUUGAACCAAAUGAAUUAUAACAACCACUUAAUUUGAUAAAUAAAAUAAAAUGAGCACCACUUAAUACUAUUUAAAAUUAAGAAAUUAUCCAAAGAAUAUACAUAUGCUCUAAGCCUAGUAGUGUAGCAUCUCCCAACAGCAGUUGCUUUGUUUUUUGCAAUUUGCACCUAAUCAAUGAAGGCUUCUUUUGCUUUCACGAUUUGCUAUGGCUGUAUGCUGCUGCGGCACAAGAAAACAAUGAAAAAGAAAGGGUAUCAAAGGACGUGAUUGUGCAUCAUAUGCUGACAUGUAUUGCCAUUUAACUAAUUUAAGAGUCCUAGUGAUAACAAUGAUUAUCUGGAAUCACCAGAAUUGAUUUAUUUUCCUAGUAUCCUAUUUUUAAGAAGUUGAUUUACAAUUCAACUCUGAAUCUAAUAUUUUUAUGCAGAGAAGAAAAAAGAAGGAAUGACAAGAGAUGUUAGUGAUCAAAGCACACCUCAAUAUCUUAGUUCAAGCAGUCCAAGUCCUACUUUAACAUCUUCAAUCAUAGGAUAAUUCAAAUGCCAAAACAUAUAUAAUACUAAUAAUGAAUGAAAAUAGAACUAGAUAUGUGAAAAUACAUGAAUUCGGUAUGAAAAAAGAACCAAAUACAUAAAAGUAAUCGAAAAGACAAAAUGUGCUAACACUUCAUAAUAUCCUCAUAAGUCUCAAUGAAAACAAUACAUAUAUGAUAUGAUUCAGACCUUAUAUCAAACAUGUAUUGUGCAGCUACAUCUAACCAACCUAUGCUGCACCAAAUCGAAAUGUAUAGAGCAAAACAUAGCAAAUAACAUUUAAUUAAUUAAAAUAGGACUGUGAGAUAAGAAUGCUAAACAUUAUAUACAUAUUAAACUCUUGCUUAACCUUGAAAUUGAGUUAACAAUGACAAGAAGGAAACUUACGUUCGACAUACCCCAGCAAUCAAAUUGAUUUAUUUUAAGUUCUAAAUUUUGACAUAGCUGAAAGAGAACAUGUUUCUAACUUCAAGAAAAGUGUCUUUGGUUUAUCCAAAUCAAUGAGCAAAUAUUUAUAAAAUUCAUAAUAAGAAUUUAGCUCACACAUUUUAUUAUUACCAUUGGCAUAUGAGAAGGAGACAGAGCAAGAUUGAGAGAUUCAGAGCACUGAGAGUGAAAGUGAGAGUGAGAACACGCGAUGCUUACGGAGAUCUUCCGGCGUGGAGAAUUGGUGGCGACCAGAGGGCUUGCUCUUGAAUUUCCCCUUUUCAUCACAAUUCCGAUUUAAUCACUCACGCACACUACGAUCAGAUUAGAAUAAUGCAACUCUUCUUCUGCACGUAAUUUUUUGGAACAAAAUUAAAAAGAAAUCGGAACAAGCAUGAAACGAAAAUGAAAUAAUCAGAAUUGAGAAUAAUCAAACCCUAGAAUUAGAUUGAGAUUGAAAAAGGUUUCAAGGAGAACAAUCACGAUCCAGAGAAAGAGGGAGAGGAAGAGAUUGUGAUGGAGAAUGGUUUUUUGAUUCUUGAUUUCAAAGGAAACAAUCAUUGUGAGCACCGAUUGAAAGCACUGAGCAAGAAAACAUGCAAUGGUUCGUGAGAGGUUUUUGGAAGAGUAUGAAUCCUAUUGUGUUUAGGAAUAGGAAUAGGUAACAGUUCUUUAAACUUUUUAAGAAAAUUAACUAUAUUUACUAACAUUUUAUUGUAAAUGUUAUCAAAAAUAUAUUUUAUCUACAAUGCUAACAUUUUAACAAAUGUUAAGAGACAAAUGUUACUAAAUAUAUAAAAUGUAGUAGUGAACGUACAAUGUCAAACAACAUAAAAAAGAGGGGAGAAAAAAAACCAAUGUCUAGUCACUAAACAAAUUUAACACAAUUAAUCUUGGUCGCUUUCUAACGCAUCAUCAUUAAUAGUUUGGAGGUCAAGAUUGAAACCCGAAAAUCAAGAGUACAAUAGCAAUUAACAAAUUAAUUUGCAUUCCUUCCUUCUUCAGGAGUAUGAGUGCCACCAACAAGAAGCACCCUCAAACAUAAUGGAAUAUUGGAACCAAGUGCAAAAAUAUACAAAUCAGUAAAACCAUUAAGCAAAGAUGAGCAGACCUAUCAUUAAAUUUAAGCACAUUUUCAAUAAAAUUGGAUAGCAUUAAUUUUGUUGAAUAUACAUUUAUUUGUUGCUAGAUUCUGACAAUUUUAUGGUGAGUAUAUUCAUUAGUUAAAAUUUUAAAAAAUAAUGACCAUUCAAGGUGUAAUUUUUCUUUCAGGAUUUGGGAGUUUUCAAUUUUAGGAUACUGUGCAAAUAUUCUUCUUUAAUUUCAACGUCUUAAACAAAGAAUUUCUUACAAUUAUUGGUCUUCAUCUCCAACAGCAAACCUGUCCAGUGUCCACAGAGAUAAAGAAGUAAAUAUCAAAGCUCAAUGAACACGGUCAAGAAGUUUAAAGAGAGAAAGAGGGGCAUACUCACAUAUAAAGAUUUACAUAAUCACCAAGGUUAAGAUUACCCUUGGAUUCAAUCUUGGCAGAAAAAGUUUUGAGUUGGAGCUUGACUCUGGCAUAAGAAACAACCCCAGAACCAGAGUUAGUAGAUGGCUCUCCCUCGAAAACAUUUCCAGGUUCCAUGAACAUAUAAAUCAAACUUUCAUCGCUAGUGUUGUGGCAACAAAAAAUAUACGUUACUUCUGCGGUCUUGUCCAAACCAUGCACCCCCACAGUUGCCACAACAUUCAUUUUAGAUAAAUCAUAAAUAUGCCACAUUGGAGCGAAGUCAACAAUCAGAAGAUAAUGACUGCAUCCCAAACGAACAAGUUUCCUUGGACAAGAUUCAGGAACUGGCGGAAAAUUCCAAUCAAGGUAUUCCCAAUUGUUAGCCUUGACGUCAUAUGACAUGAGCCCUUGAUGUUUAUCACCACAAGAAUACAAUACAAUGUGGGUCUUCUUGUGAGGCUUGGUGCUGUCCUCCCACAGAAAGUAAGAGUCAGGGUUCAU
rnacentral:lncRNA from 1 species